UGGGCCCGGGAGAGGCGGCGGCCGGCCUCCGUCUAACCCUAACUGAGCAGGGCGUGGGCGCCGCGCUUUUGUUCCCCGCGCGCUGUUUUUCUCGCUGACUUUCAGCGGGCGGAAAAGCCUCGGCCUACCGCCGUCCACCGUCCGGGUCUGCAGCCAACAACAAAAAAUGUCAGCCGCUGGCUCGCUCGCCCCUCCCGGGAGCCUGCGGCCGCUCGCCCGCUCGGCCCCCCGCGUCCCGCCCGGAGGCCGCGGCCGGCCCGGGGCUUCUCCGGAGGCGCCCACUGCCGUCGCGAAGAGUUGGGCUCUGUCAGCCGCGGGCCGCCUGGGGGCCGCAGGGCGGGGCUCGGGCCGCAGGGAGAGCAACGGAGCGGGUCCCCGCGCGCGGUGCGUCUCCCUGAGCUGUGGGACUCGCACCCGGGACCGGGCUCGCACACGC
rfam:Canis lupus familiaris chromosome 34, whole genome shotgun sequence.